rnacentral:rRNA from 1 species
UAUUGGUCAAUGGGCUUACGCCUGAACCAGCCAAGUCGCGUGAGGGAAGACUGCCCUAUGGGUUGUAAACCUCUUUUGUCAGGGAGCAAUUGGCGCUACGUGUAGCGUUAUCGAGAGUACCUGAAGAAAAAGCAUCGGCUAACUCCGUGCCAGCAGCCGCGGUAAUACGGAGGAUGCGAGCGUUAUCCGGAUUUAUUGGGUUUAAAGGGUGCGUAGGCGGAAUGCCAAGUCAGCGGUAAAAUCGCGGGGCUCAACCUCGCUCCGCCGUUGAAACUGGCGUUCUUGAGUGGGCGAGAAGUAUGCGGAAUGCGUGGUGUAGCGGUGAAAUGCAUAGAUAUCACGCAGAACCCCGAUUGCGAAGGCAGCCUGCCAAGCCAUGACUGACGCUGAUGCACGAAAGCGUGGGGAUCG